rnacentral:tRNA from 1 species
ACCUGGCUGGCUCAGUCGGUGGAGUAUGUGACUCUUGAUCUUGGGGUCAUGAGUUCAAGCCCCAUGUUGGGUA